rnacentral:rRNA from 1 species
GCAUGCGGCAUUGCCGCGCCGCAUGCGAAGUUCUCGUCCGAUCACUGAACUUAAGCAACGUCGAGCGUGGAUAGUACUUGGAUGGGUGACCGCUUGGGAACACCACGUAACGUUGGCG